rnacentral:rRNA from 1 species
UCCGUAGGUGAACCUGCGGAAGGAUCAUUGUCGAAACCUCAACAAAAACCACCAGCGAACUUGUUUUUCACACACCGGGGGAGGCGGGGGGUGUCUUCACCCCCGGCCGCCCCCGUAUGUCUUGGCGGGGACGCGUCGGGCCAACCCCCCUCGCGUGCUCGUCCGGGCGAACGAACAAACCCACGGCGCCAGACGCGCCAAGGACUAUUAACAACGAGGCACGCCCCCGUCGGCCCGGCAACGGUGACCGCGCGGGAAGCGUCGCAACGUAUUUAUCCAAAACGACUCUCGGCAACGGAUAUCUCGGCUCUCGCAUCGAUGAAGAACGUAGCGAAAUGCGAUACUUGGUGUGAAUUGCAGAAUCCCGUGAAUCAUCGAGUCUUUGAACGCAAGUUGCGCCCGAAGCCAUUAGGCCGAGGGCACGUCUGCCUGGGCGUCAAACAACGUUGCCCCCCACACGAAUCGUGCGGGGGGCGGAGAUUGGCCUCCCGUGAGCGAGACUCGCGGUUGGCCUAAAUGCGAGUCCGUGGUGGCGAGCACCAAGGCACGAGGUGGUUGAGUCACGCUCGAAGCCAAGUCCUGAGUGCCUCGCCCGUCGAACGGCUCCCCGAACCCCCUCGCAUCCCACGGAUGCUUCCAACGCGACCCCAGGUCAGGCGGGACUACCCGCUGAAUUUAAGCAUAUCAAUAAGCGGAGGA